rnacentral:siRNA from 1 species
AUUACAUCUUGUCCUACUAUAUCC